GAGCCACCUCCCCUAAGGUUCCUGCCCGGGAUUAGAGAUGGCAACUCACCGGCCGGCUGAGUGAAACGGAGCCUCCAAGAGAAGCACUUCUGUGCAGAAAUGGCGGAAUAUGCUCAGGCUUUCGGACAGUAAUGAGGCAGCAGGAACACUUGCUUAUGUUUAAGGUUUGGAUAGAAUUCUGGCCAUUGUCUUGGAUGUAGCUGGGCUUGGUGACCAUUUCUGCAACUCUGCGGCUCCCCCAUCCUCUGUUGGGGUGUCCCUGCAGCCUCUUGCAGCUCCCCUUCUUACCUAAAGCUGGAGAAGCACCCCACUGCCACUAGGGAGCCAUGCAGUGCCAGCCCUGGCCUCACUGCUGGGUCCCGAGC
rnacentral:lncRNA from 1 species